rnacentral:rRNA from 1 species
GACGAACGCUGGCGGCGUGCUUAACACAUGCAAGUCGAACGGACAGGCCCUGCUCUUGUGGUGUGCUCGAUUGGCGAACGGGUGAGUAACACGUGAGUAACCUGUCCUUGUCUUUGUGAUAUCUUCAGGAAACUGGGGCUAAUACCGGAUAGGAGCUCCUGCUCCAUGGUGGUGGAUGGAAAGUUUCGGCGGUUGGGGAUGGACUCGAGGCUUAUGAGCUUGUUGGUGGGGUAGUGGCUUACCAAGGCUUUGACGGGUAGCCGGCCUGAGAGGGUGACCGGCCACAUUGGGACUGAGAGACGGCCCAGACUCCUACGGGAGGCAGCGGUGGGGAGUAUUGCACAAUGGGCGGAAGCGUGAUGCAGCAACGCCGCGUGCGGGAUAACGGCCUUCGGGUUGUGAACCGCUUUGGACUGUGACGAAGCGAGAGUGACGGUAAUGGGUAAAGAAGCACCGGCUAACUACGUG